rnacentral:RNase_P_RNA from 1 species
UCAGGGGACUGGGCGGCCGCGGCGGAUUUCGAUCCGGCGAGGAAAGUCCGGGCUCCACGGAAUGAAGGUGCCGGGUAACGCCCGGCGGGGUCGCGGCUUCGGCCAAGGCUUCAGGGAAAGUGCCACAGAAAGCAUACCGCCGGGCAUCUUGGGUAACCUUGGGGACCGGUAAGGUCGAAAGGGUGCGGCAAGAGCGCACCGCGCGGCUGGCAACAGUCGCGGCAUGGCAAACCCCACCUGGUGCAAGACCGAAUAGGGGUGGCAUAUGGGGCAAUUUCCGCCUCGUCACCCGGGUUGGUCGCUUGAGCGGCGGAGCAAUCCGUCGCCUAGAGGAAUGGUCGCCCAUCCGCCUUUGCUUCGGCUUCGGCGGAGGACAGAACCCGGCUUACAGGUCCCCUGGCAAU